UGGCGGACGGGUGAGUAACGCGUGGAUAACCUGGCCCAUACAGGGGGAUAGCAGCUGGAAACGGCUGGUAAUACCGCAUAAGCGCACAGGGGCGCAUGCCCUGGUGUGAAAAACUCCGGUGGUAUGGGAUGGGUCCGCGUCUGAUUAGGCAGUUGGCGGGGUAAAGGCCCACCAAACCGACGAUCAGUAGCCGGCCUGAGAGGGUGGGCGGCCACAUUGGGACUGAGACACGGCCCAAACUCCUACGGAAGGCAGCAG
rnacentral:rRNA from 1 species